AUGUUUCGGAGGAGCUGCUGGAGCGGAGCCGGCUCGGGGCCGCACAGCGCCGCUGGCUGGGACGGGGACGGCACGCAGAGCUGCCCUGUUCCUUACAGCCCAUUAAUCCCCGUGCAGCUUCAGAGACGCACGUUCCUGCUCCGGCACGGGCAGGAGGCCGCGGAAAUGUAUGUGCAGGAGCCUGGAGCGGCAUCUAUAGGAGCGGCUCGCUGGCUGCCUCCUCCCCGCAGCCGCUGCCGCAGCCAUGGAGGACCUGGGGAGCCAAAGAGACCCAGGGCUUACACAUCAGCAUCGCGCUCUUGCAGGGAAAAAAGGGAGAGAAACGCAGGCAGCCAACCCCUCCCUCCAGCGCGGCGCUGCUGGCCGGGAAGGAGCUGGCUGUUGGCGAGGAGAGCUGGAGCUGGAGCCAUCUCCAAAAAGAAAAUAAAGGAAGGAAAUCCUUACAGGAGGAGCCGUUUUCCCCACGGUUACCCUUGGGGGCUGAUAGCCCACCUAUCUCUCCACCCCUUCUUUAUUUUGGCCCCGUUUUGGGCAGCCCUUUUUCCUCUCCUCCUCUCUCUCAGAGGCUGGGGCUGCCCGGAGGUGGGCAGCAAACACCGCGCCGGGGCUGAGCUGCAGCCAGGCUGGCCCGUCCCGGGGAAACACGGGGGCUCCUCCAGCGUUUUCAUGUCCCUGGGGGUGACACGGUGCAGUGCUCGGCCACCCUGCUGCAGUGACGGCCGUGUUUUGGGAGAGGAUGGUUGCUUGCAUAUGGUGCCAGAGGCACCAAACGUCCCCCGUAGGCGAUCCCGCUGCGUGGUCCGGCAGCAGCAGGGGCCAGGCGCCGGGCUCAGCUCGGCAGCAAUUCCUUUUUCUCUCUUUGAAGGCAGAAACAAAACGGAGCCCAGAGCCAGGGAGAGGUCCCGGGGCUUUGCAAACACAAUGCGCCUCGUUGCACAAUCGCAAAGGGAUGGACGGGGAAGGAGGAAGGGGGAGGAAAAAAAAAUACAAAAACGGGGGCCCCAAGCAGGUAGGGGACAAAACCGAGGUGGAGGCAGCAACUGGAGGGGGUCGGGGGCAAGCGUGGUGGUGGCUGGGACCCAUUUGGGGAUGGUGGGGCUUUUUGGAUGA
rnacentral:lncRNA from 1 species